AGAGUUUGAUCAUGGCUCAGGAUGAACGCUAGCGGCAGGCUUAAUACAUGCAAGUCGAGGGGCAUCAAGGUACACGAAAGUGUAUUGUUGGCGACCGGCGGACGGGUGAGUAAUAGGUAGGUAACCUACCUCAUACUGAGGCAUAGCUGGGAGAAAUUCCAGGUAAUUCCUCAUGAGGUUAUAUGACACAUGUGAUAUAAUCAAAGGUAUCGCAAGGUACUGGUAUGAGAUGGGCUUACUGACCAUUAGCUAGUUGGUGAGAUAACAGCCCACCAAGGCAACGAUGGGUAGCCGGCCUGAGAGGGCGACCGGCCACACUGGAACUUAGAUACGGUCCAGACUCCUACGGGAGGCAGCAGUGGGGAAUUUUGCGCAAUGGGGGAAACCCUGACGCAGCGACGCCGCGUGAGCGAUGAAGGCCUUCGGGUCGUAAAGCUCAGUCAUUGGGGAUGAAAAGGACAGUACCCAAAGAGGAAGCCCCGGCUAACUACGUGCCAGCAGCCGCGGUAAUACGUAGGGGGCGAGCGUUGUCCGGAAUUACUGGGUGUAAAGGGCGUGUAGGCGGGGAUGCAAGUUACCGGUAAAAACCCGUGGCUCAACCACGGGCUUGCCGAUAAAACUGCAUCUCUUGAGUGUAGGAGAGGGAAGUGGAAUUCCCGGAGUAGCGGUGAAAUGCGUAGAUACCGGGAGGAACACCAGUGGCGAAGGCGGCUUCCUGGCCUAUCACUGACGCUGAGGCGCGAAAGCUAGGGGAGCGAACGGGAUUAGAUACCCCGGUAGUCCUAGCCGUAAACGAUGGUCACUAGGUGUGGGUGGUGGUCAAGCCAUCCGUGCCGGAGCUAACGCAAUAAGUGACCCACCUGGGGAGUACGGCCGCAAGGUUGAACUCAAGGAAUUGACGGGGGCCCGCACAGCGGUGGAGCAUGUGGUUUAAUUCGAAGCAACGCGAA
rnacentral:rRNA from 1 species